CCUACGGGAGGCAGCAGUGGGGAAUUUUCCGCAAUGGGCGAAAGCCUGACGGAGCAAUACCGCGUGAGGGAAGAAAGCCUACUGGGUUGUAAACCUCUUUUUUCAGGGAGGAAAAAAUGACGUGUACCUGAAGAAUAAGCAUCGGCUAACUCCGUGCCAGCAGCCGCGGUAAGACGGAGGAUGCAAGUGUUAUCCGGAAUUACUGGGCGUAAAGCGUCUGUAGGUGGUUUAAUAAGUCAACUGUUAAAUCUUGAGGCUUAACUUCAAAACAGCAGUCGAAACUAUUAGACUAGAGUAUAGUAGGGGUAAAGGGAAUUUCCAGUGGAGCGGUGAAAUGCGUAGAUAUUGGAAAGAACACCGAUGGCGAAAGCACUUUACUGGGCUAUUACUAACACUCAGAGACGAAAGCUAGGGUAGCAAAUGGGAUUAGAUACCCCAGUAGUCCUAGCUGUAAACAAUGGAUACUAGAUGUUGAACAGAUCGACCUGUGCAGUAUUAAAGCUAACGCGUUAAGUAUCCCGCCUGGGAAGUAUGCUCGCAAGAGUGAAACUUAAAGGAAUUGAGNGNGNGAAGUGCGAGACGACACGAGGAGAG
rnacentral:rRNA from 1 species